UGCUUCUGUUAGAGCUCUUAGUGCAACAUCUUCACCAGACUUUUCACCAGCAUCUAGUUUUGAAGUUUCUGAAGUAGGCUUCCCCUCAUUAGUAUCUGGUUUUGAAACUUGAUCAGCUUGCUUCGCUACAACAGUAUCUCGUUUUGAAACUUGAUCAGCUUGCUUCCCUUCAACAGUAUCUGGUUUUGAAAUUCGAUCAGCUUUCUUUCCUUCGCUGUCAUUCUCAAAAAUAUCAUUCUUUUCUUCGGUAUCUUCUGGGUUUGAACUCUCCAUUGGAGACGUUCGACUCUGGUCCUCCUUGGAAUCUAUUUUAACAUC
rnacentral:lncRNA from 1 species